CUACCGCGUGUGGGGCCGGGGCAGCCCCCUGCGCUCCUGGGCCCCCGGGCCGCGAGGUGCCGCGGGCCGGGACGGGGAAGGCAGCCCCCAGCCCCUCUGCUGAAGCCCUGGGGUUUCCAGGCACCCGGACUUGUCUGUGGAAAAUCCCUUCCCGCAGCCCGCACAAUCCCGCUCCGAAGUCCAGAGCCCGGCUGGCCAAUGUGGCCCCCAGCCCUGCCUGUGAAGGCCGGCGUGGAUCCUCCGCCCCCCCGGGAACCAGGGGGGCCUCGGCUUCUCCCCACCCGGCUCGCGCAGCAGAUCGAGGUGUCUCCGUCUGGCUUGAAGCCUCACUUGAGGGGUGGAUCCAUGAUUUGGCAAAGGCAGGUACAGGAGAAACCACCUGUGCUGCAGGGUGGCUGCACACCUGCUCCCAGCCAGCAUCCUCCUGUGCAACCUAACAGUGUGGACAUACUGCGCCAAGUCCCCAAAACAGGGUUGAGGCAAAAACUGGGCUUUGCAGUAUAUUCAGAAGUUUAACAAACCCGGAGUGUAAAGGACUAAUGCAGAGAGUAAGGUCUAUCAUCAGUAAAUCCAGCUGCCUGGUAGCAGUCUCCUCAUCCGAACAGAACUCUAAUUUGAAUGGCUCUGCUCAUCGCUGCUACAGAAUUCGCAUAUGGAAAAAUAUGUUCUCUGGAGGAAUCAGAGCUGCGUGUGUCAAAAUCAAUACUGAUAUCUGCUUGCUACGUGUUCAGUUACCAUUACAAAUUGUGGGGCAAAUGAUGUAAUAAUGCCAGUAACAUGAUCUGCACAAAAAGCCCACCUAACCAUUUUGCUUUGACUUCAGGUUCUGAGUCACCCCCCAAAAUGGAUGGUGUGUUAUUGUUCAGCCACUUUGUGAAGAUAGUUUUAAGAUCUCUCUUUUCGCCUUCCCAAGGCUUUUCAUAGGGUUUUAUUUGUUGGAUGAAAUUGGCACAGUUAAAAAUUCUUAGUUUUUUAAAUUUAAAUGCAUUGUUCUGUUCCCAUUGCAGCCAGAGGGAAUUUUGCUUUAAAUGGUGGUGGGAACAAGAUGGGGGACAUUUUAUGGUAACUGUUGGUGUUUUCUUUUUGUCACAAACACUUAUUUCAGUGAAUGGUUCCUGUGUAUUUGGAUUGGAAUGAAUAAUUAUUAGAAAUAACUUUACUUCUAUUAUAAUCUAUUUUUAUUGCACUUUCAGGCCUACUUAAAUGUAUGUAGUCUUAUGUAAGACAAUAUAUAAUAUAACUAUAUAAAAUAAAUGAGAAAGGGAUUGAGAU